GGCUAUGUGGCCGAGUAGUUUAAGUCUGUUGGGUUCGCCUGCGCAGGUUCGAGUCCUGUCAUAGUCG